rnacentral:rRNA from 1 species
GAACUGGUGAGUAACACGUGGGAAACCUGCCCUUAAGCGGGGGAUAACACCUGGAAACAGAUGCUAAUACCGCAUAACAACUUGGACCGCAUGGUCCAAGUUUGAAAGAUGGCUUCGGCUAUCACUUUUGGAUGGUCCCGCGGCGUAUUAGCUAGAUGGUGGGGUAACGGCUCACCAUGGCAAUGAUACGUAGCCGACCUGAGAGGGUAAUCGGCCACAUUGGGACUGAGACACGGCCCAAACUCCUACGGGAGGCAGCAGUAGGGAAUCUUCCACAAUGGACGAAAGUCUAAUGGAGCAACGCCGCGUGAGUGAAGAAGGGUUUCGGCUCGUAAAACUCUGUUGUUAAAGAAGAACAUAUCUGAGAGUAACUGUUCAGGUAUUGACGGUAUUUAACCAGAAAGCCACGGCUAACUACGUGCCAGCAGCCGCGGUAAUACGUAGGUGGCAAGCGUUGUCCGGAUUUAUUGGGCGUAAAGCGAGCGCAGGCGGUUUUUUAAGUCUGAUGUGAAAGCCUUCGGCUCAACCGAAGAAGUGCAUCGGAAACUGGGAAACUUGAGUGCAGAAGAGGACAGUGGAACUCCAUGUGUAGCGGUGAAAUGCGUAGAUAUAUGGAAGAACACCAGUGGCGAAGGCGGCUGUCUGGUCUGUAACUGACGCUGAGGCUCGAAAGUAUGGGUAGCAAACAGGAUUAGAUACCCUGGUAGUCCAUACCGUAAACGAUGAAUGCUAAGUGUUGGAGGGUUUCCGCCCUUCAGUGCUGCA